UACGGAGGAGGCAAGCGUUAUCCGGAAUUAUUGGGCGUAAAGCGUCCGUAGGUGGCUCUUCAAGUCUGCUGUCAAAGAGUGGGGCUUAACCCUGCAAAGGCAGUGGAAACUGAAAGGCUAGAGAGCCGUAGGGGUAGAGGGAAUUCCCGGUGUAGCGGUGAAAUGCGUUGAUAUCAUCUGGAAUACCGGAGGCGAAGGCGGCUCACUGGGGGUUUUCUGACGCUGAGGAACGAAAGCCAGGGUAGCGAACGGG
rnacentral:rRNA from 1 species